rnacentral:rRNA from 1 species
ACACCGGCAGCUCUAGUGGUAACAAUUUUUAUUGGGCCUAAAGCGUCCGUAGCCGGUUUAAUAAGUCUCUGGUGAAAUCCUGUAGCUUAACUGUGGGAAUUGCUGGAGAUACUAUUAGACUUGAGACCGGGAGAGGUUAGAGGUACUCCCAGGGUAGAGGUGAAAUUCUGUAAUCCUGGGAGGACCGCCUGUUGCGAAGGCGUCUAACUGGAACGGUUCUGACGGUGAGGGACGAAAGUUAGGGGCGCGAACCGGAUUAGAUACCCGGGUAGUCCUAACUGUAAACGAUGCGGACUUGGUGUUGGGGUGGCUUUGAGCUGCUCCAGUGCCGAAGGGAAGCUGUUAAGUCCGCCGCCUGGGAAGUACGGUCGCAAGACUGAAACUCAAAGGAAUUGGCGGGG